rnacentral:rRNA from 1 species
UACGUAGGGGGCAAGCGUUGUCCGGAUUUAUUGGGCGUAAAGAGCGUGUAGGCGGUCAGGUAGGUCCGUUGUGAAAACUCGAGGCUCAACCUCGAGACGCCGAUGGAAACCAUCUGACUAGAGUCCGGAAGAGGAGAGUGGAAUUCCUGGUGUAGCGGUGAAAUGACGCAGAUAUCAGGAAGAACACCCGUGGCGAAGGCGGCUCUCUGGGACGGUACUGACGCUGAGACGCGAAAGCGUGGGGAGCGAACAGG